rnacentral:rRNA from 1 species
CCCUUAGAUGUUCUGGGCCGCACACGCGCUACACUGAAGGAGGCAGCGUGUACUCCUGGAUCGAAAGAUUUGGGUAACCCGCGAAUCUCCUUCGUGCUAGGGAUUGAGGUUUGCAAUUAUCCUUCAUGAACGAGGAAUUCCCAGUAAGUGCAAGUCAUAAGCUUGCGCUGACUACGUCCCUGCCCUUUGUACACACCGCCCGUCGCUCCUACCGAUUGAAUGAUCCGGUGAGGCCCCCGGAAUGUGGUCACGGCUUUGGUUCGCCAAACUGAGAUCGCGUGAAGCUGUCCAAACCUUAUCAUUUAGAGGAAGGAGAAGUCGUAACA